rnacentral:rRNA from 1 species
UACGGCUCAGUAACACGUGGAUAACCUGCCCUAAGGAAGGGGAUAACCUCGGGAAACUGAGGAUAAUACCCUAUAGGAUACCGAUGCUGGAAUGCCCGGUAUCCCAAAGCUCCGGCGCCUUAGGAUGGAUCUGCGGCCGAUUAGGUCGUUGUUGGGGUAACGGCCCAACAAGCCGAUAAUCGGUACGGGUUGUGGGAGCAAGAGCCCGGAGUUGGAUUCUGAGACACGAAUCCAGGCCCUACGGGGCGCAGCAGGCGCGAAAACUUUACAAUGCGGGCAACCGUGAUAAGGGAACCUCGAGUGCCUGUACAUGCAGGCUGUCUGGGUGUCUAAAACACACCCAAAGAAAGGGCCGGGCAAGACCGGUGCCAGCCGCCGCGGUAAUACCGGCGGCUCGAGUGGUGGCCACUUUUAUUGGGCUUAAAGCGUUCGUAGCUGGGUUGUUAAGUCUCUUGGGAAAUCUGGCAGCUUAACUGUCAGGCGUCUAAGAGAUACUGGCAAUCUAGGAACCGGGAGAGGUGAGGGGUACUUCGGGGGUAGGAGUGAAAUCCUGUAAUCCUCGAGGGACCACCUGUGGCGAAGGCGCCUCACCAGAACGGCUUCGACAGUGAGGGACGAAAGCUGGGGGAGCAAACCGGAUUAGAUACCCGGGUAGUCCCAGCCGUAAACGAUGCSCKUUCGGUUUCGAUGACCACGAGUCAUCGAGGUGCCGAAGGGAAACCGUGAAACGCGCCGCCUGGGAAGUAC